AUUCUGGGCGUAAGCGCGCGUAGGUGGCUAAGUCAGCCAGGUGUGAAAGCCCCGGGCUCAACCUGGGAACGGCAUCUGGAACUGCUUGGCUAGAGUGCAGGAGAGGAAGGUAGAAUUCCCGGUGUAGCGGUGAAAUGCGUAGAGAUCGGGAGGAAUACCAGUGGCGAAGGCGGCCUUCUGGACUGACACUGACACUGAGGUGCGAAAGCGUGGGUAGCAAACAGGAUUAGAUACCCUGGUAGUCCACGCCGUAAACGAUGUCAACUAGCCGUUGGGUCCCUUGAGGACUUAGUGGCGCAGCUAACGCAAUAAGUUGACCGCCUGGGGAGUACGGCCGCAAGGUUAAAACUCAAAUGAAUUGACGGGGGCCCGCACAAGCGGUGGAGCAUGUGGUUUAAUUCGAUGCAACGCGAAGAACCUUACCUACCCUUGACAUCCAGAGGACUUUCCAGAGAUGGAUUGGUGCCUUCGGGAACUCUGAGACAGGUGCUGCAUGGCUGUCGUCAGCUCGUGUUGUGAAAUGUUGGGUUAAGUCCCGUAACGAGCGCAACCCCUAUCCUUAUUUGCCAGCGAGUAAUGUCGGGAACUCUAAGGAGACUGCCGGUGACAAACCGGAGGAAGGUGGGGACGACGUCAAGUCAUCAUGGCCCUUACGGGUAGGGCUACACACGUGCUACAAUGGCAAGUACAAAGGGUUGCAAUACUGCGAAGUGGAGCCAAUCCCAUAAAGCUUGCCUCAGUCCGGAUUGGAGUCUGCAACUCGACUCCAUGAAGUCGGAAUCGCUAGUAAUCGUGGAUCAGAAUGCCACGGUGAAUACGUUCCCGGGCCUUGUACACACCGCCCGUCACACCAUGGGAGUGGACUGCACCAGAAGUGGUUAGCCUAACCUUCGGGGAGGGCGAUCACCACGGUGUGGUUCAUGACUGGGGUGAA
rnacentral:rRNA from 1 species